UACAGAGGUCCCAAGCGUUGUUCGGAUUCAUUGGGCGUAAAGGGUGCGUAGGCGGCGCGGUAAGUCGGGUGUGAAAUCUCGGAGCUUAACUCCGAAACUGCAUUCGAUACUGCCGUGCUUGAGGACUGGAGAGGAGACUGGAAUUUACGGUGUAGCGGUGAAAUGCGUAGAUAUCGUAAGGAAGACCAGUGGCGAAGGCGGGGCUCUGGACAGUUCCUGACGCUGAGGCACGAAGGCGAGGGGAGCAAACGGG
rnacentral:rRNA from 1 species